rnacentral:rRNA from 1 species
GACGAACGCUGGCGGCGUGCUUAACACAUGCAAGUCGAACGGUGACGAGGAGCUUGCUCCUCCGAUCAGUGGCGAACGGGUGAGUAACACGUGAGUAACCUGCCCCAGACUCUGGAAUAACAGUUGGAAACAGCUGCUAAUACCGGAUACGAGACGGAGAGGCAUCUCUACCGUCUGGAAAGUUCUUCGGUCUGGGAUGGACUCGCGGCCUAUCAGCUUGUUGGUGAGGUAAUGGCUCACCAAGGCGACGACGGGUAGCCGGCCUGAGAGGGCGACCGGCCACACUGGGACUGAGACACGGCCCAGACUCCUACGGAGGCAGCAGUGGGGAAUAUUGCACAAUGGGCGAAAGCCUGAUGCAGCAACGCCGCGUGAGGGAUGACGGCCUCGGUUGUAACGUACUUCUACGUAGGAGAAGCGAAAGUAGACGGUACCGUACCAGAAGAAGACACCGGCGUAACUAACGUCGCCAGCAGCCGCGGUAAACGUAGACGUG